CUGACUGCGCUGAAUCCUGACGCAAUUUUAAAAAUCACUAUGUAAUAGCCAAUAGCAGCUCGUAGUCAGACAAAAAUGCCAACGGCUUCACGCCGGCUAGCAUUAUAAACAAGUUUUAGCAUAUACAUAAAUCAUAUUAUGUUAGUGAAUUAAAGUUGUUUGAUGUUUCACGUGCACUAUACCAUAAGCACACUCAAAAAAUAAUUUGAAAAAUAUCAGAAAAUUUAGCUAAUUAAAAAUAGAAAUUUGGCAACAUCGUUAACUUGAUAAUUAAUUGUAUACAGUUCUCUUUCUUGACUCAGUAGGUAAUCAUAAUAAAAUAUUGUAUCAACUCUAAUUCUAGAAAUUUCUAGAAAGUUGAUUUUUCAAUGUCAUUGGUAUAUAAAUAUACAUUGUUUAUUACUUCUAUUAUACAAUCAAUAACAAACUUUUGAAGCUUAUUGAUUAUAAUAUUAAAAUGUAUUUGUAUAUCUUGGCUUAAUAGAUUAGAGUACAUUUAGUUCUUUCAUUGGAAUAACUAUUGCUCUAUAUAUGUAUGGUGUACAAAAUUCAUAAUUAAUUGUAUAAAGUUCUUUUUCAUGACUCAGUAGGUAAUCAUAAUAAAAAAUUGUAUCAACUCUAAUUCUAGAAAUGUGAUUUUUCAUUGUGAUUUGUCAUUGGUAAAUAAAUAUACAUUUGUUUAUUACUUCUAUUAUACAAUCAAUAAUAAACUUUUAGAAGCUUAUUGAUUAUAAUAUUAACUUUUAUGUGUAUAUCUUGGCUUUAUAGAUUAUUAUUGCACAUUUAGAAAUCAGUACUUUCAUUUGUAGAACAGACAUGAUAGGUAUUUAAAUAUUCAUUGUUUAUUACUACUACUAUAAAAUCAAUAAUAAACUUUUUGAAGCUUAUUGAUUAUAAUAUUAACAUUUAUUUGUAUAUCUUGGCUUAAUAUAUUACAGUACAUUUAGAUAUUAUUAACUAUUAAGUACUUUCAUCUGUGAUCUGAAUUACUAUUGCUCUAUAUAAUAUGUGUGGUCUACAUAUUGAUAAAAUAGGAAAAUUGUAAUUUCAAAAACUAUUUAUAAAUAUCACAACUCUUUAAUCUACAUUAUCUAAUCAUUUAUAUCUUUUCAAUCUUAUAUGUUUAUUAAUAAAUAUAACAUAAUUA